GCUUGUCUCAAAGAUUAAGCCAUGCAUGUCUAAGUAUAAACAACUUUGUACUGUGAAACUGCGAAUGGCUCAUUAUAUCAGUUAUAGUCUACUCGAUAGUACCUUACUACUUGGAUAACCGUAGUAAUUCUAGAGCUAAUACAUGCGUAAAUACCCAACUGCUUGUCGGACGGGUAGCAUUUAUUAGAUUGAAACCAAUGCAGCUUCGGCUGGUAUUGUGUUGAGUCAUAAUAACUGUGCGGAUCGCUUUUUAAGCGAUAAAUCGAUUGAGUUUCUGCCCUAUCAGCUUUGGAUGGUAGGAUAUGGGCCUACCAUGGCGUUAACGGGUAACGGGGAAUUAGGGUUUGAUUCCGGAGAGGGAGCCUUAGAAACGGCUACCACAUCCAAGGAAGGCACAGG
rnacentral:rRNA from 1 species